GAUUAGCAGCAGGUGUGGCUCACUGACCUGUGACACAGUCAGACUUUUGGAUUCACCUGAACAUUGUUUCUCCUCUAAAAGGUGUAAAAAGGCAAGUUUGUACGUCUUGUGGCUCCAAAAUGGAUAUGCAUGGCUGAAAUAUAUAAAUAAUAUAUAUAAUAUAGAAAUCCUUUUAAGAUCAAUAAACUGCACCAACCCUGCUGGUUAAAGCCAAACACGAUGAUGCAGAGCCAGAACCUUCUGAAGGGAUUAUAAGCACCUCAAGAUCCAUCAGGAGCAUCAGCUGAUGCUGGGAAGAUGGACGUCUGGGCCUGCUGCUGUUUCGACCGACGGGAUCAAACUCGUGAGGAGCGCUGCUGAUGGUGCAGCCGACCGUUUAUCCUGCUGAGCGUUCAGACGCUCUGCCCCUCUUCUUCUGUGAUGAAGGAGGAGACAAUUUCUCCAUAACUCAGCAAAUCCCGUCCACUGACGAGGUGAAAAAGCUACGAGUGGACCUGGAGGACGGUCAUAUAGCCACUGCGAGAGCACACGUGCCGGCCAGGCGUGUGUUUGCCCGCUCAAACGUGAGAGCAUUGGACUGCGUGAGCCAGUGUGUACAUUCAGCUGACUGCCUGGUAUCCUGGGAAGACCCGCCACACACAGGCCGGGUUUCCACCGCGUCACACAUCUACUGUGUUAGUGGAGAUAAAGAGAUCACUUCUGCAGACUUUCCUUCCUUGUCACAUAUGAGGAGUCCUCACUUUAACCUUUUUAGCCGUGGCUCUGUUCACACUGCAGCUGAAGAUUUUUGUGCACAAAGUAAAUCCUGUUUUUAAACAUGAAUGAAAAUGUACCUACAGAACAUGCAUUGCAGCCAUCUAAUAAAAUUUUAAUGGUGA